GACGAACGCUGGCGGCGUGCUUAACACAUGCAAGUCGAACGGAAAGGCCUUUUCGGAGGUACUCGAGUGGCGAACGGGUGAGUAACACGUGGGUGAUCUGCCCUGCACUCUGGGAUAAGCCUGGGAAACUGGGUCUAAUACCGGAUAGGGCCGCACUUUAGUGUGUGUGGUGGAAAGUUUUUUCGGUGUAGGAUGAGCCCGCGGCCUAUCAGCUUGUUGGUGGGGUAAUGGCCUACCAAGGCGGCGACGGGUAGCCGGACUGAGAGGUUGGUCGGCCACAUUGGGACUGAGGUGAGGCCCAGGCGCCUACGGGAGGCAGAAGGGGGGAAUAUUGCACAAUGGGCGCAAGCCUGAUGCAGAGACGCCGCGUGGGGGAUGACGGCCUUCGGGUUGUAAACUCCUUUCGCCAGGGACGAAGCGUUUUGUGACGGUACCUGGAGAAGAAGCACCGGCUAACUACGUG
rnacentral:rRNA from 1 species